GCCAGUGUGGUGUAGUGGUUUGAGUGUUAGAUUACAACUCCAAAGACCAGGGUUCGAAUCUCCACUCAGCCA